rnacentral:lncRNA from 1 species
UUCUCUAUAGAUUAGUCUCAUAAGUGCUAUGUUAUUUAGCUGCUUGCCUUUCAGAUUGCUAUAACCAUUUAUUUGUGAUAUUCUGGCCAUUAUGUAUGAUUGUAACUGAAAUGAUAAUGAUUUCAAAUUACUUCUCCUUAGUGCUGUCCUUUGGGAUUUUAUUAACUGAUAAUUUAUGGCUGGUGUGAUGUGUUUGAAAUACUCUUUUGAGUUCUGUUGCUUGCGUCUAUCUGUUCUUGAAUUCCUGUGAUGCACGUAUUAUAUGAUUUAUGCCCGCUUCAAUGUGUUACGUGCUCUCUGAGUUGUUAUGUUCAUAUGAACUUAUCUUCUGUUGCUCCUUCUUUUACUCAUCAUAAUUAGUUUUUCAAGUGUUGGUGGCCUCCUAACCAUGUCACUGAUAUUAUUAUCAUCAGGAGUUUGUUCUUUUUGAUAUGCCUGUUGCAUGGCUGCUUGUGCUACUGUUGAUGAAUUGAAGAAGUUGCUACAGGUUUGGUUUCUAAAGUUUCAGUGAGGUUUUGAUUGUGACCACUACUUUACUCCAAGCAUGAUCGGAACCUGGCUCCAAAUCCGGAUGCUCUACAAUGACAUUGUCAAGUCCAACUUAUCUUUCCACUUGCAACAUUUAUGACACUGUCAUCACAGGAAAUCUGUAGAAUAUAGAUUAUGAAUUGAUUCCAAGAGCUUAGGCACUGUUUUCUUUGGAUCCACAUUAGUAGCAGCUUCGAAGGCUUCCAUAGAAGAUUUGUAAAUGGUUGGUGAGUGAGGGAUGAUACAUUCAUUCACGUGAUUAAUUUGUUUGAGAGGUUUAAGCAUUUCAAAG